rnacentral:misc_RNA from 1 species
CGCCAUUCGUUGGCAAACAAUUUUCCGUGAAACAGAAAACUCCCAAUUGCAGCCUCUCGCUCACAAAUCCAAGGGCCACUGACUAAGGCGCAGCUGGCCGCCGCCGCCGCAGGUAGAUCGCCACUCUUUUGCUGCGACUUUCGCGUGUAAGCUGCAGAUUUCUCUUUCUCUCUCUUAAUCUCUCUUCAUUACUUGAUACGGUUAUUUAAUCUCGGGUUUGAUCUUUUACUUUAGAGCAUGCAUGGAACAGAUUUUAUUAAUUUGUUUAGUUGUUUCAGUUAGAAGUAAUUUAAUUAAAUUUUCGAAACCAUUCAGAGGUUUUAGUCUUUCCAGUAUGAUACUCUGACUGGAUUUGUUCGUUUCUGGCUUAAAAGCUGAAGUGUAGCUCUUUGAUCCCUUGAAAAGAAUCGUCAGGCUUGUAACUUAGUUUAAAAUUCAGAUUAAAUUUGUGAUUCAGAAUAAUCUGAGUGCAAAGAAAGAAAAGCGGUUUCUAUCUCAUAGGAAUGAUCUGAUUUGAGAAUUAUUUUGUUAAUCGUAUCAAUUUUUUGUUCCCUGUGAACAAAGGAUGCUUUUUGGCUGGAGGAAAUAAGCUCACGAACAAUAUGCUUGGGUUGAGGGAAUAAAUGUAUGUUAAUGCUACUAUUAAUAUGAAAAUUUUACUUCAUAGGAUGCCCAGUGAAGCAACUGUUCCCUAACUACUAACAUAAGUAGGAUGAACAUUGAUUCAUUCAAGUAAAAAAAAAUUGACAUUGGUGUUUGAAGAAAUUAGAUUUUCUGUAUGUUUCUUUUUUCUAAUGUCUGUCAUUCUUUAAACUAGAUUGACAAAUUGCGAAAAGAUCAUUGACAUGAAUAUAAGCUACAAGGUGUAGCCUGUCAAACUACAUAAGUACAACUGUAUAGGUUGUUUUAAUUUGACUGAUUGAAUUACUGAUAUUGAAUAUAAAGUAUUUAGGAGGUGUGAACUGUGAAGCAAUAAGCAGAAUUGUUUAGCCAUUCAAAGAUCGGCAAUAAAUAGUUCCACUAAGAAAAGCUUGCAUGUUAUGCCGAUUUAAGAAGAGAGGCAAAUGAAUUUCCAGCGAACUACAGUUCCCAAUGCAGAGAAACAAGUAUGAAAUAUUUUUUAAACAAUGCAAUGGUAAAGAAAAUUUAGAAACUGUGUUCUGAUGAUUAAAGAGUUGGGGCAGUGAGGUUUUCUUGUUUGAAUUCUGAUAUAAUGCUUUUGAAUAAAUUUCUUCGAGCAGGUUUACAUCUUAUAUUUUCCCCUUUUUAUUUUUGGCCUUCGAGGUGUCCCAAGGAGGGUGAGCUGAAGAGGCCUAGAAGUUCAGUAUUUACAAAUAGUUUUCAAGGCAGAUUUAUCCUGAAAAACACUCAAUUUGAACCCUGCGUAUUUCAUUUUUUUAUGAUGGGUCUGACUAUGGCAUAUUAGGCCCUACUUCUGUUAAAGACUCAUAAAAUGCAUUGUAUUAAAUCUAAUAAUGUGCCCUUUUUCUUUGUUUCUUUUCUUUUUUUUUUUUUUUCUUUCUUUUCUUUUAUGUCUUUAGGAAGACCACAAAUUUUAAUUAAAUAAAUUUUAAUUAUAAUAAUUAUUGCAG